UCCACUCCUGUCUACAAUCAACUCAUCAAGCCACAGCUCAAAUACUCCGGCUCUCCUUCCACUCAUCUCCAGAUUGUUCAGUCACCUUUGUGGUCUCCAGUGUCAACCCGUCCAACCGGUCAUCUGUUGUUCUUCAGCUGCAAGCCCAUUCUCCAGCCACGCCAAGCGCACCCAGCCACCUGCCUCUUUCUGCUACACAACCCCUCUCCAGCCUGCCAGCACCAGCUCCCCUCCCUUCUACCCUCCAUAACCAAAGGUUGCUCAUUAAACCAUCCUUUUCUCAUCCAUCCA